rnacentral:rRNA from 1 species
GACGAACGCUGGCGGCGCGCCUAACACAUGCAAGUCGAACGAGAGAUGAGGAGCUUGCUCUUCAAAUCGAGUGGCGAACGGGUGAGUAACGCGUGAGGAACCUGCCUCAAAGAGGGGGACAACAGUUGGAAACGACUGCUAAUACCGCAUAAGCCCACGGCUCGGCAUCGAGCAGAGGGAAAAGGAGUGAUCCGCUUUGAGAUGGCCUCGCGUCCGAUUAGCUAGUUGGUGAGGUAAUGGCCCACCAAGGCAACGAUCGGUAGCCGGACUGAGAGGUUGAACGGCCACAUUGGGACUGAGACACGGCCCAGACUCCUACGGGAGGCAGCAGUGGGGAAUAUUGCACAAUGGGGGAAACCCUGAUGCAGCGACGCCGCGUGGAGGAAGAAGGUCUUCGGAUUGUAAACUCCUGUUGUUGAGGAAGAUAAUGACGGUACUCAACAAGGAAGUGACGGCUAAC